CCUACGGGGGGCAGCAGUGGGGAAUAUUGGGCAAUGGGCGCAAGCCUGACCCAGCAACGCCGCGUGAAGGAAGAAGGCUUUCGGGUUGUAAACUUCUUUUGUCAGGGAAGAGUAGAAGACGGUACCUGACGAAUAAGCCACGGCUAACUACGUGCCAGCAGCCGCGGUAAUACGGAGGGUGCGAGCGUUAAUCGGAAUUACUGGGCGUAAAGCGCUCGUAGGCGGUAUGUCAAGUCAAGGGUGAAAUCCCCGCGCUCAACGUGGGAACUGCCUUUGAAACUGGCAAACUGGAGUGUGUGAGAGGAUAGUGGAAUUCCAGGUGUAGGAGUGAAAUCCGUAGAUAUCUGGAGGAACAUCAGUGGCGAAGGCGACUAUCUGGCACAUAACUGACGCUGAGGAGCGAAAGCGUGGGUAGCAAACAGGAUUAGAUACCCUUGUAGUC
rnacentral:rRNA from 1 species